CUCUUCGGGGAUGAUUAAACCGGCGCACGGGUGAGUAACACGUGAGUGACCUGCCUUUUAGACUGGAACAACUUACCGAAAGGUGAGCUAAUGCCGGAUGAGUUAUAUAAGUGCAUGUUUAUAUAGGAAAAGUUGGGGAGACCUGACGCUGAAAGAUGGACUCGCGUCCCAUUAGCUAGUUGGUAGGGUAAUGGCCUACCAAGGCGACGAUGGGUAGCCGGCCUGAGAGGGUGGCCGGCCACACUGGGACUGAGACACGGCCCAGACUCCUACGGGAGGCAGCAGUGGGGAAUUUUGCGCAAUGCUCGUAAGAGUGACGCAGCGACGCCGCGUGAAUGACGAAGGCCUUCGGGUCGUAAAGUUCUUUCGACAGGGAAGAAAAUGCCUAUAAGUAACUGUGUAUGUAUUGACGGUACCUGUAUAAGCAGCCCCGGCUAACUCCGUGCCAGCAGCCGCGGUAAUACGGAGGGGGCGAGCGUUGUUCGGAGUGACUGGGCGUAAAGAGCACGUAGGCGGUGUUGUAAGUCAUUAGUCAAAGACUAGAGCUCAACUUUAGUAAGGCUAGUGAUACUAUAAUACUAGAGUAUCAGAGAGGAUUGCAGAAUUCCUGGUGUAGCGGUGAAAUGCGUAGAUAUCAGGAGGAAUACCGUUAGCGAAGGCGGCAAUCUGGCUGGAAACUGACGCUGAGGUGCGAAAGCGUGGGUAGCAAACAGGAUUAGAUACCCUGGUAGUCCACGCUGUAAACGAUGGAUGCUAGGUGUUGGGCUU
rnacentral:rRNA from 1 species